GUGACCGUGAGCACGGCUAGUAUACCAGUUUUUAACACUCUGCAGAGGUUGUACAUCUUUACCCAUGAGUCAUGAUUUACCCUUUCGCCUGAGGUGAUCAGCCUCGUAACCCACUACCAAGGUAGGUCGGCAGGGAUCACUAUGAAGUCUUUUAAAGGUUCGUCUAACAAGUUAGGGCCGCUUGGUUUCGGUAGUCAGUCCGUGUGAUUCUACCACUCGCAGGGAAUCCACGGUCUGCUAUCCCCCAUUUGCGCCACACGGGUAACCUCUAACAAGCUAGAAAAGUUACUCAUACUUGACUAAAGCCAGAGCCAUUAUAGCCCUCAUGGUUGCACUUUCAUCCCGGUUAUCACUUACGAAUAAAUCCUCAAGUUGCUAAAAAGUUAUUAUUAUCAUUUGUUGCUUUAUAUCAAUCUAGUCACAAGAUCAUAGUCAUAGAAUUAAAACCCAAAUGCUAUACUUGCCUUGAUCCAAUUGCUCCUGCUGGUCCUGCUGAAAUUACUUGCUUCCAAGGCUCUGAUCUUGAUCACCGAAGUAAUGCCCACUGACUAGGCUCGAUCACCAAACAUCAACACACAAGCAAUCGGAGACAAACAUACACGAAGCAAACAAGAUUACAAUUAGAACAGUACACCAGCAGUAAAUAAAUAUAAAUAAAAGUUUUCCAAAAUCAUCUACACGCUGCUACGAUCACGUCAACGGGAAAUUCACGAAAAACGAAGUUACGACGCGAAAUCUAUGCAUUAACCGGGACUGCAGAGGCUAUCUACGGACUUGUAUUUAACUAGGAAAUCUAACAGUGGUGAACCUAGACAACAAUGGUACCAACGCGAAGCUUAUGAAAUUAUAAAACUAACGCAACUUGAACGGAUCGAAUCGGAGCUAAAACAGAGAAGAUAUGAAUUUUCUAAUAUUUUCUUUGGAAAAAUAAUUAAUUAAAUAGGGUCACAAAAUUAAAAUGUUUCAAACUGAUCAACCAAGAUUACUAACAUGUAGAUCUCGUGAAAACGAAUCUAACGCAAUUUGAACGGGUCAAAUCGGAGCUAAAACGAAUAUUUUAUGGCCAAAACAUUGCAGUGGCAAUUCUAUAAUUAAUUUGAAGUCGAAAAUGAAAUUUAAAUCAAAUUUUAAUCUGGAUCUGGUGUUGGCCGAGGACUGCGGGUUCUAUAUCUAUGAAGUCGAGGGGCUCUUUAAUGAAAAUCCCCACGAAGGGGUAAGUUCUAAUCAUGGCCGUUGGAUCAAGCUUGGAUGCGCAUGAUUAAAAGAAAAAAAAGAAAAAAAAGAGAGAGGGAGGGGUGGCACACCGGCCAGAGCUGGGCAAAGACACGGCGGUGGCCAUGGAUUCCGGCCAAAGCUCGCCGGCGCAAAUGGAUCGGGAGCUACAGUGCACGAUUUUCGAUUCCGUUUGAACCGGGAGAAAGAGGAGAGCGAUGCGAGUCCAUUCCAACCCAUAAACGCGGUCGAGGAGGCGGUUUCCGAAAAGGUUCACGACGACGCCAUGAACGUCCCGACGGAGCUCGCGGAAAUAACUCAUGAGGCCACGGUUUCGCACGGGAAAAAGCCGAGGAGGGAGAGGGGAAGGAGGCACGCUCACCACGGCGAUAAUCGGGGGCGGAUACGGCUCGGUUUUUGAGUUGAGCGCGGAUGUCGUCGGCGGCGUCCUUCGCUACGGCUGCUGUGCGGUCCAAGGCGAAGGCAGGGGCAGGGAGAGAGGGGAAUGGGGAGAGGGAAGAAAGCUCGGGCGCGCGGGGGGGGCUCUCCAACUUGAAGCCGAGGCGCAGGGAGGGGAGAACGUGGGGGAGCGGGUUUAGGCUCGGCGGUUCCUUCUCUGCCGUGAUAACAGAGAGAGGGAAGGAGCGGUUGCUGGAGGAAGGGGAAGGCCCUGACGGGUGGGCCCUGCCUAGCAGAGAGAGAAGAGGGAAGGAGGGAUGGGGCGCUGGCGGGCCGAUUUGGGCCAAGCAGGCCGAGAAGGGAGAGGGAGGAAGAAAUGGAUUUUUUUAAACUAAUUUUCAAAGCUUCUUUGAAAUUGAAUUUUAAACAAAUUUUCUUUUACAAAAAUUCACACAUCACAAAUUAAAAGU
rnacentral:lncRNA from 1 species